rnacentral:rRNA from 1 species
GACGAACGCUGGCGGCGUGCUUAACACAUGCAAGUCGAACGGAAAGGCCCUGCUUUUGUGGGGUGCUCGAGUGGCGAACGGGUGAGUAACACGUGAGUAACCUGCCCUUGACUUUGGGAUAACUUCAGGAAACUGGGGCUAAUACCGGAUAGGAGCUCCUGCUGCAUGGUGGGGGUUGGAAAGUUUCGGCGGUUGGGGAUGGACUCGCGGCUUAUCAGCUUGUUGGUGGGGUAGUGGCUUACCAAGGCUUUGACGGGUAGCCGGCCUGAGAGGGUGACCGGCCACAUUGGGACUGAGAUGCGGCCCAGACUCCUACGGGAGGCAGCAGUGGGGAAUAUUGCACAAUGGGCGGAAGCCUGAUGCAGCAACGCCGCGUGCGGGAUGACGGCCUUCGGGGUGUAAACCGCUUUCGCCUGUGACGAAGCGGGAGUGACGGUAAUGGGUAAAGAAGCACCGGCUAACUACGUG